CCUACGGGUGGCUGCAGUGGGGAAUAUUGGGCAAUGGGCGCAAGCCUGACCCAGCAACGCCGCGUGAAGGAAGAAGGCUUUCGGGUUGUAAACUUCUUUUUUCAGGGACGAAGCAAGUGACGGUACCUGAGGAAUAAGCCACGGCUAACUACGUGACAGCAGCCGCGGGAAUACGUAGGUGGCAAGCGUUAUCCGGAUUUACUGGGUGUAAAGGGCGUGUAGGCGGGAAAGCAAGUCAGAUGUGAAAACCACGGGCUCAACCUGUGGCCUGCAUUUGAAACUGUUUUUCUUGAGUACGCGGAAGGCAGACGGAAUUCGUAGUGUAGCGGUGAAAUGCGUAGAUAUGAGGAAGAACCCCAGUGGCGAAGGCAGUCUGCUGGACAGGAACUGACGCUGAGGCGCGAAAGCGUGGGGAGCGAACAGGAUUAGAUACCCGGGUAGUC
rnacentral:rRNA from 1 species